UACGUAGGGUGCAAGCGUUAAUCGGAAUUACUGGGCGUAAAGCGUGCGCAGGCGGUUAUGCAAGACAGAUGUGAAAUCCCCGGGCUUAACCUGGGAACUGCAUUUGUGACUGCAUAGCUGGAGUGCGGCAGAGGGGGAUGGAAUUCCGCGUGUAGCAGUGAAAUGCGUAGAUAUGCGGAGGAACACCGAUGGCGAAGGCAGCCCCCUGGGUCAAGAUUGACGCUCAUGCACGAAAGCGUGGGGAGCAAACAGG
rnacentral:rRNA from 1 species